CAGACACCGAGCCGACGGCGUCGCCGGCGUCCUUCCACACCUGUAAAAUGUUAUUUUUUGUUUUGGUUGUUGCUGAUAUUCUCAGUGUACAGAAGGGGCCGACACUGCUGUUCCGACACAAAAAUGACCCGGUUUAGGAGGGGAAGAUGGCAGAGAUGUUUUCAUCAGGGCCUGUGUUCUGUGCAGGGGUGGAAGCAGCGGGAGGUGCAGGUAAAUCUAUGGAAGUCCUCAAAACUACAGCACCGUGAGAGCCAGGAUCACUCUCAGUGAAUGGAUGGGGAAUAAUCCUGGCUCUGUUCCUUUCAGCCGUGCUGUAGCAGCUACAUUUGAUCCUGGAAAUUUCCUCUCCAUUUGGAGACGUGAAAAGGAUUAGAAAUGUUAUGUGCCCGGUUAAAAGGUUAACUUAUAUGAUUUUGCAUGUCUGUGUUGUUUUAAAUGAAUUCACCUAAAUUUCAGAGGUGUCUCAACUAUGUGUCUCUAUUAGGCACCCGGACAGAUUGUCUCAUUGUUUUUUCUAAUUCAGAUCUGUAACUGCCAGAGUGAAUCUUCAUUCAGAUGGAUCACCCCAAACCCGCCCGCUGCUGGCAGGACCUCGGGCUGCCUCUCUGGUUGGAACAGUCCCCUGCAAGACUGACGGCUUAAUCCUGGCUUCUCCCAGCAUUCAAAAAUUGAGCUAGAGCGUCGCUCGUGGCCUCCGCUGCUGCCACCUGCCAAGGUGAAGUUAUUUUAAAAGAUGAGACAGACGCUGUUUCAGUGCGCUCGGGCUGCUGCUCCUGCAGAACCUUCACCCUUCAGUCUCCGGCCAGGGACUCACCCGCUGUUGACUGCAGUC